GACGAGGGGUGCAAACGUUAUUCGGAAUGAUUGGGCGUAAAGGGUGCGUAGGCGGCUUAUUAAGUCAACCGUUAAAUUUCUCAGCCUAACUGGGAGUAUGCGGUAGAAACUGGUAAGCUUGAGAGUGGGAGAGAGAAGUGGAAUUCUCGGAGUAGCGGUAAAAUGCGUAGAUCUCGAGAGGAACACCGAUGGCGAAGGCAGCUUCUUAGCCCAUUUCUGACGCUGAGGCACGAAAGCGUGGGGAGCAAACAGG
rnacentral:rRNA from 1 species